GAGGCCAGCCACAGCUGACUGUGAAGCCUUCACCUUUGGAACUCUCCUGCUGCAGGCUUGAAGAUGUAGAGCAGUGGCGGAGUCUUUUUUUUUUCUUUCCUGGUCUGCUUUCACCUUCAGGAGCUGAUCUAUCACAUGCAUGCAGGCAGCAGUAUUGCAUGUCAUUACUCUGUGUGUAGUUUUAUUGGACUUUUCGGCUUCCUGGGAAGGAUGAUCCCUGGGGCCUUCGAGAAAGGAAUACAUGCAUUUUAAAACCCAGCUUGAAACCAAGCACCAUCCUGCACCUACUUGAAUGAUUAGCGGAAGGUUAUUAUCAGGUCGGGGAGAUAAGAAGGCACAUCAAAGAGAGUUCAAAAGGCCCUGCUUAACAGUAAUGACCCACCAGACAGCUCUGAUGACUGAAGAUCUUCACCCGUCCCAGAAAAGCCUGCUAUCUCUCGUGCAGCUCUUCAUCUUCAUUGGCUCAUCAAGAACACACAAGAGGAGUUUUUGAAGAAUAAUUGCACCAUAAAAAUAGUACAUGGAAAAAUAAUUAAAUAAAUAACAGCACCUGGAAUUCA
ensembl:lncRNA